rnacentral:tRNA from 1 species
GUCUGGAUGGCGUAGUGGUCAGCGCACCUGCCUAGUAAACAGGAGACCUGGGAUCGAAUCCCAGUCUGGCACA